AGGGUUCGAUUCUGGCUCAGAUUGAACGCUGGCGGCAGGCCUAACACAUGCAAGUCGAGCGGUAGCACAAGAGAGCUUGCUCUCUGGGUGACGAGCGGCGGACGGGUGAGUAAUGUCUGGGAAACUGCCUGAUGGAGGGGGAUAACUACUGGAAACGGUAGCUAAUACCGCAUGACGUCUUCGGACCAAAGUGGGGGACCUUCGGGCCUCACGCCAUCAGAUGUGCCCAGAUGGGAUUAGCUAGUAGGUGGGGUAAUGGCUCACCUAGGCGACGAUCUCUAGCUGGUCUGAGAGGAUGACCAGCCACACUGGAACUGAGACACGGUCCAG
rnacentral:rRNA from 1 species